rnacentral:rRNA from 1 species
UGUGCAAAAGGUAGCAUAAUCAUUAGUCUUUUAAUUUGAGACUGGAAUGAAAGGUUUAACUUACUAAAAAUGUCUCAUGAUAAUAUUUUGAAAUUUAUAUUUUAGUAAAAAAGCUAAAAUACACUUUAAAGACAAGAAGACCCUAUCAAGCUUUAUAAUUUUAAACUAACUACAACCUAGUAAAAAAAUUAUUUUGCUGGGGCAGCAGACAAAAAGUUUUUGUUUUUACAUUGUGAACUAUACUUCUAGAAAAAUCAAAAAAUUCCUAAAAAAGAACAAGUUACUGUAGGGAUAACAGCAUAAUUUUUUUUAAGAGUCCUUAUCAUCAAAAAAGUUUGUGACCUCGAUGUUGGAUUAAGAAACCUAGUUUGUGCAAAAGUAAAACAAGAAAGUNCUGUUCGAGNUUUNAAUAAAAACCCA